rnacentral:rRNA from 1 species
CCGCAUAACAACUUGGACCGCAUGGUCCGAGCUUGAAAGAUGGCUUCGGCUAUCACUUUUGGAUGGUCCCGCGGCGUAUUAGCUAGAUGGUGGGGUAACGGCUCACCAUGGCAAUGAUACGUAGCCGACCUGAGAGGGUAAUCGGCCACAUUGGGACUGAGACACGGCCCAAACUCCUACGGGAGGCAGCAGUAGGGAAUCUUCCACAAUGGACGAAAGUCUGAUGGAGCAACGCCGCGUGAGUGAAGAAGGGUUUCGGCUCGUAAAACUCUGUUGUUAAAGAAGAACAUAUCUGAGAGUAACUGUUCAGGUAUUGACGGUAUUUAACCAGAAAGCCACGGCUAACUACGUGCCAGCAGCCGCGGUAAUACGUAGGUGGCAAGCGUUGUCCGGAUUUAUUGGGCGUAAAGCGAGCGCAGGCGGUUUUUUAAGUCUGAUGUGAAAGCCUUCGGCUCAACCGAAGAAGUGCAUCGGAAACUGGGAAACUUGAGUGCAGAAGAGGACAGUGGAACUCCAUGUGUAGCGGUGAAAUGCGUAGAUAUAUGGAAGAACACCAGUGGCGAAGGCGGCUGUCUGGUCUGUAACUGACGCUGAGGCUCGAAAGUAUGGUA